UCUGCGUCACGCUGCUCGCCCGCGGGCGCCCGCACUUGCGCGCACGUCUUGGCGCCGGGUUGCCAGCGGUGUCCGGCUAGCAGGGACCGCCGCGGGGGGUGCAACCGUUGUCCUGAGCCGUCCGCCGCCUCCCGGGUGUGCGGGCAUGCAUGGCUUGUGUCCUUGGGGAGAGCGUCAC
rnacentral:rRNA from 1 species